UCAGCACGCCUGCCUCCCCCUGGUGGCCACUCCGUGCAAUUCAUCAGCGGCGCUGCCUUGCUUGCCAAUGACGACGCAGGACUUUGCAUCAACUCGCCGACUUGAGGUUGACGGUGCGCCCCCUGCUGGUCACCGUGCAUUUCAUCCGCAUGAAGAAAUCCCGCUUGGUGCUCUGCUCUUUGCUCUUCUUCCCGAAGCUGUUGGCUAGGAACAAAAAAAAAAAUAAAA